rnacentral:rRNA from 1 species
CAACUCGCCUGCAUGAAGUCGGAAUUGCUGUAAUCGCGGAUCAGCAUGCCGCGGUGAAUACGUUCCCGGGCCUUGUACACACCGCCCGUCACACCAUGAGAGCCGGUAACACCCGAAGUCAGAAGCCUAACCGCAAGGAGGGCGCUGCCGAAGGUGGGAUUGGUAAUUGGGGUGAAGUCGUAACAAGGUAGC